rnacentral:rRNA from 1 species
GACAGAGGUCCCGAGCGUUAGGCGGAAUCACUGGGCUUAAAGCGUGUGUAGGCGGAGUGCUAAGUACCUUGUGAAAUCCCACGGCUCAACCGUGGAACUGCUCGGUAUACUGGUCCUCUUGAGCCACCUAGGGGCAACCGGAACAAACGGUGGAGCGGUGAAAUGCGUAGAUAUCGUUUGGAACGCCAAUGGUGAAAACAGGUUGCUGGGUGUGUGCUGACGCUGAGACACGAAAGCGUGGGUAGCAAACAGG